rnacentral:lncRNA from 1 species
GCUGUCUCGGCUCAGGGCGGGGAGGAGGCGCUUCUGCCUCCCCCCACUGGCUGCUGUCGCCUGGCGGGGGAGGCACUGCUGGCUGGGCCGGGCGGGGGCGUAGCGGCAACCGCCUCCCCCCACUCUCCCAAGGAGGUGCGGGCACCGCGGUCCCUCCCAGUCCCUGGGAGCCUCUCUGCCGUCCCCCUUGGGCCUCUCAAGGAAGCUUCUCUGGCCGCUGUGGAUAUUGGUUUUUGUUGGACUUGGAAUUGGGAAUUGAGGGCGACUGGGGGACGCCGGGACAGAGGGCGAUGCAGCAAAGCCCAGCUGCUUUGGCAGCCCGGCAGCGUUCUUCUCAGGGUGGAAGCCGAGGGAUGGCAUCUUCCUUUCACCAUUUGGAAGAAAUUUUGGAAUGAACAAUACCUUUUCUCCCUCUGAAAUACUGCUUCCUGAGCUUUAAGGAGGCAUAGCCAGAUCUUGCUGAUUUCCUGACGCUGACCACACGGGAUGGAGGCUGGUCCUCACCCUAAGAAGAGAGAGCCUCCCCAACCCCAAGAAGGAAGGGAAAGAGGAUGGCUCUCUGGGUCCCUGUGAGAUGGGAAUGUUCCCACUUUCUCUCUGGAUUCUCUGCAAAAGACAGCAAGAUACCCCAGGGGAUAUUGGUGGAAAAGAUGAAUGCAUAGGAAUCAAGCUGAAGGAAGAGAAAGAAGGAAAGAAAAGAAACCAGUGAAGCACAGAUGUGCAGACCAGAGGAGGAAUUGUCCUAACUAUUGUUCCUAUGACAAUUGAAAAUAAAUGUAGUUUUUACUCUGCGUGGC